CGAUUACGGGAGGCAGCAGUGAGGAAUAUUGGUCAAUGGGCGGAAGCCUGAACCAGCCAAGUAGCGUGCAGGAUGACGGCCCUAUGGGUUGUAAACUGCUUUUACAGGGGAAUAAAAAGGAACACGUGUGUUCUGUUGCAUGUACCCUGUGAAUAAGGACCGGCUAAUUCCGUGCCAGCAGCCGCGGUAAUAUCG
rnacentral:rRNA from 1 species